rnacentral:rRNA from 1 species
GCGAAAGCCUGAAGCAGCCAUGUCGCGUGAAUGAAGAAGGAUCUAUGGUUCGUAAACUUCUUUUGCGGGGGAAAAAAGUGCGGGACGUGUCCUGUUUUGUAUGUACCCUGACAAUAAGGAUCGGCUAACUCCGUGCCAGCAGCCGCGGUAAUACGGAGGAUCCGAGCGUUAUCCGGAUUUAUUGGGUUUAAAGGGUGCGUAGGUGGUUUGAUAAGUCAGCGGUGAAAGUUUGCAUCUUAACUGUAAAAAUGCCGUUGAAACUGUCGGACUUGAGUGUAAAUGAGGUAGGCGGAAUGCGUGGUGUAGCGGUGAAAUGCAUAUAUAUCACGCAGAACUCCGAUUGCGAAGGCAGCUUACUAAGCUACAACUGACACUGAAGCACGAAAGCGUGGGGAUCAAACACGAUUACAUACCCUGGUAGUCCACGCAGUAGACGAUGAUUACUAGCUGUUUGCGAUACACAGUAAGCGGCACAGCGAAAGCGUUAAGUAAUCCACCUGGGGAGUACACCUGCCACGGUG